UUUUUCUGGCACAUAUUUUACCAUAUCAUCUGAAAAACUCCUCAUGACGCCAUAGCACCCAUUGAAAUAGAGUGUUUGGAAAAAAAACGAAAUCUUUUGGUCCAGUGUAGAGGGCGUAGUCAGAAGAAAACGGCAACCAAUAGAAGUAAUACUCAUCAUCACUUCUAUUGGUUUCUGACACGUCCAUCAACCGCCAGCACUCACCCCUCCUCCCUGCGCGUUCACCGACUCGUGAACUUGACCGACCCCGCCCCCAUCAUUCAUGCACACGCGACAAGGCUCAUCAUCACUCGGCUAGUAGCAAGGUAACGAGAGUUAGCAGCAGGCUGAGCUACUUGGAAACUUUGGUGGCUUUUGCAGAGCUACAGGAAGAACUUUGGCUUUUGGAACACUAGACUACCGGUAACCAUGUCAGGAUAACAUACUCCCUUGGAUUAUCAUCGGACUCGCAAGACCAGACUCCAACACGGGCUGAAAAUUUGAAAUGGGACCUGACACUCUUGGACACAGAUGUCGGCUACGGCAGCGGCUUCAAAUACGCUUUGGUGACCAUAUUUCUAAUCGAGAGGUGAGAUAAUAUAUUUGUCUGUAUAAUAUUUUGUGAAUUGGUUUAGGACACAGUGGUGUCUUUUUUUAAGCAAGUAUCCAUUGAGAGGGGUCAGAGGAUUAGCUCAAGCUCCAACAUAUCUAGCUGCUACCUUGCUUAACAUAGCUGCUACCUCAAUCGCUUUAUUUUUUUUGUGUUUUUCCCCCCUGUGGCAUUUAUUCUGUGCACAUGAACACGUUUUCAGAAUUGCUAUGUGUAACUCAGACGGUUACUCUUGUGUGUUUUGCUGCUAGUUGUGCGAACGAGCCAGACAAACCAGCUGGGAGGAGGACGGAAGCACCCCUUCUCCAUCCGCGUUCAGUUGCUAAAUACGGAUCCACCCCGUAGUAAGUAACCUACCAUGUUUACGCACACAUUACUUUGACCAGCAAAGCCCAUGUCUUUCUAGUGGUUUACAAAAAUAUAUCGUUUGCAUGUUUUGCUUUGGUACGUCUCUGUUGUAUGACUCUGGUAAUAGUAGCAAGCACAAGCACAACCUGUUCGCCGCUCCAGCAUUGCAAAAUAGAUUGCCUUGGGUUUUCAAAUGUUUACAUGAUUGUGGGUGUAAUGUUGUUAACUCGCUGAUGUCGUUUUUGAGAAGACGGUAGUUUUGCAUUUGAUAAAUACCACCUAAUGACCAUGACGGCUACACGGCAGAUCUUUAUUGUGAUGGCUACACUGAAUGAUCACAUGGAGAUGCCGGUACAUUAUUUGUUUUACCCUGGUUAUAUUGAAAUGUUCUGCUUUGUCCAUUCCAAGGUGUGGUGUUUUCCAUAGCUGCUCCUUGCUCCUGUUUCACAACAUAUCAAGGCUGCCAAGUAAAUGAAGAAUGAAUCACCGCACACUGGUCAACAGCCGACAGGGUCCUUCCACAACCACAUACUUAUGCCAGUAAAAGCCACAGCUUUUCUCCUCCAAUCCAAGAAGCCUGGACUGCAGUCACCAUCUCAACACACCAACCAAGAGAAAGGCGGAUGGCUCAAUUCAAUAUGGAAAAUUGCACAAUAAAAGUUCCAGGACAUGAAGGCUGCAUACUGUGAACGUCAACCUUCAGGGCACCGUCCUGCGCAGAAGACUUUCUACCCUAAGAGGGAUGGCUGACCGCAGACACUCACAACCAGCACAGACGCCUCCAACCUCAAACCAGGCCCUUCACAGUUGCUGCACUUACCCACCUUCCCAGAGUUUUUGUGUGGUAAUGACAACUGUAAAUAUAGUAUAAAGUAAUGUAUCUAGUGUCAUGUGUAAUACAUUGUUUAAAUUGUCCAUACAUUUCAAUGACAGUAAAUAUUGGUGGACACAA